rfam:Daphnia pulex DAPPTscaffold_119_Cont4985, whole genome shotgun sequence.
GCCCGGUUAGCUCAGUUGGUAGAGCGCGGGACUUUUAAUUCUGAGGUCAAGGGUUCAAGUUCCUUAUCGGGCG